CUUGCUCCCUGAUGUUAGCGGCGGACGGGUGAGUAACACGUGGGUAACCUGCCUGUAAGACUGGGAUAACUCCGGGAAACCGGGGCUAAUACCGGAUGGUUGUUUGRACCGCAUGGUUCAAACAUAAAAGGUGGCUUCGGCUACCACUUACAGAUGGACCCGCGGCGCAUUAGCUAGUUGGUGAGGUAACGGCUCACCAAGGCAACGAUGCGUAGCCGACCUGAGAGGGUGAUCGGCCACACUGGGACUGAGACACGGCCCAGACUCCUACGGGAGGCAGCAGUAGGGAAUCUUCCGCAAUGGACGAAAGUCUGACGGAGCAACGCCGCGUGAGUGAUGAAGGUUUUCGGAUCGUAAAGCUCUGUUGUUAGGGAAGAACAAGUACCGUUCGAAUAGGGCGGUACCUUGACGGUACCUAACCAGAAAGCCACGGCUAACUACGUGCCAGCAGCCGCGGUAAUACGUAGGUGGCAAGCGUUGUCCGGAAUUAUUGGGCGUAAAGGGCUCGCAGGCGGUUUCUUAAGUCUGAUGUGAAAGCCCCCGGCUCAACCGGGGAGGGUCAUUGGAAACUGGGGAACUUGAGUGCAGAAGAGGAGAGUGGAAUUCCACGUGUAGCGGUGAAAUGCGUAGAGAUGUGGAGGAACAC
rnacentral:rRNA from 1 species